rnacentral:rRNA from 1 species
ACGCUAGCUACAGGCUUAACACAUGCAAGUCGAGGGGCAUCAGUUUGGUUUGCUUGCAAACCAAAGCUGGCGACCGGCGCACGGGUGAGUAACACGUAUCCAACCUGCCUCAUACUCGGGGAUAGCCUUUCGAAAGAAAGAUUAAUAUCCGAUAGCAUAUAUUUCCCGCAUGGGUUUUAUAUUAAAGAAAUUCGGUAUGAGAUGGGGAUGCGUUCCAUUAGUUUGUUGGCGGGGUAACGGCCCACCAAGACUACGAUGGAUAGGGGUUCUGAGAGGAAGGUCCCCCACAUUGGAACUGAGACACGGUCCAAACUCCUACGGGAGGCAGCAGUGAGGAAUAUUGGUCAAUGGACGCGAGUCUGAACCAGCCAAGUAGCGUGAAGGAUGACUGCCCUAUGGGUUGUAAACUUCUUUUAUAUGGGAAUAAAGUGGUCCACGUGUGGAUUUUUGUAUGUACCAUAUGAAUAAGGAUCGGCUAACUCCGUGCCAGCAGCCGCGGUAAUACGGAGGAUCCGAGCGUUAUCCGGAUUUAUUGGGUUUAAAGGGAGCGUAGGCGGAUUGUUAAGUCAGUUGUGAAAGUUUGCGGCUCAACCGUAAAAUUGCAGUUGAUACUGGCAGUCUUGAGUGCAGUAGAGGUGGGCGGAAUUCGUGGUGUAGCGGUGAAAUGCUUAGAUAUCACGAAGAACUCCGAUUGCGAAGGCAGCUCACUGGAGUGUAACUGACGCUGAUGCUCGAAAGUGUGGGUAUCAAACAGGAUUAGAUACCCUGGUAGUCCACACAGUAAACGAUGAAUACUCGCUGUUUGCGAUAUACAGUAAACGGCCAAGCGAAAGCAUUAAGUAUU